CCCAGACUCCUACGGGAGGCAGCAGUGAGGAAUAUUGGUCAAUGGGCGAGAGCCUGAACCAGCCAAGUCGCGUGAAGGAUGACGGCCCUACGGGUUGUAAACUUCUUUUGUCAGGGAGCAAUUGAGUCCACGUGUGGGCUUAGCGAGAGUACCUGAAGAAAAAGCAUCGGCUAACUCCGUGCCAGCAGCCGCGGUAAUACGGAGGAUGCGAGCGUUAUCCGGAUUUAUUGGGUUUAAAGGGUGCGUAGGCGGAGUGUCAAGUCAGCGGUAAAAUUUCGGGGCUCAACCCCGUCGUGCCGUUGAAACUGACGCCCUUGAGUGAGUGAGAAGUAAGCGGAAUGCGUGGUGUAGCGGUGAAAUGCAUAGAUAUCACGCAGAACGCCGAUUGCGAAGGCAGCUUACUAAACUAUAACUGACACUGAAGCACGAAAGCGUGGGGAUCAAACAGGAUUAGAUACCCCGGUA
rnacentral:rRNA from 1 species